UGGAAAAGGGCACUUCCGGAAAAAGGGCACUUCCGGAAAAAGGGCACUUUUGAAAACUUGGGGGCCUUGGGCCCUUGGUCCCCCGGUUCCUACGCCCCUGCAAUGAAGUAAAUAACUGGGAUGUCUUUUAAAAAUAGAAUGGCACUCAAUGUUAAAAAACUAAGGACAAUGUUAAAAAAACUAUACCCGAACCACCACGUCUUCGUAUUGGAAAUGAGUUUAUAGAAAGGGUGAACGUUUUUAAAUUACUUGGCGUGUCGUUACAAAAUAAUCUAAACUGGAACGCACAUGUUGAAGAGAUCACACGAAAAGCUAAUUAAUCUGCUAGUGAUUGAUCAUAUCUGCUAGUGAUUGAUCGUUAUCGGGCUGAUUUUUGUCUUAUCUGUAGACAAUCGGAAUCGGUAGAAUUAUGUUUAUUUCCGAUUGUUGAGAAAAUAC